GUGACUAAACCCACUAACACACUCUCUACUCUCUUUCUCUUUCCUUUUCACAGAACCCACUACCAUCAACAAUCCCUACCCACUGCCAUCAGCCUCUCUUUCUCUUCCCUUUUCACAUAACCCACGUCUACUGCCAAUUUAUUUGAGAAUUCCCUUUUGAGUUUCAGAGUGUCAUCGUUCUUUCUGCUUUCAUCGUGCAUCGUGUCUUUCUGUCGUCCUCACUCCUCAGUGCCGUCUCCCAUUCAUCGCUACACUUCAAGAGUUUCAAUGGAGCCUCAGCCUCAGGGGUUAUGCCUCUUGUAUUAAUUGUAUAAUGAUGAUCUGUACCAUUGAGAAUCUGCCUAUCAUGCAUCGACAAGUUGUCUUGCUUAAUCUUGGUGGCAGCCCAAACUGCAGCUCCACUUUUGAAAAGUUAAUAACGCAAAUGAGCAUACAUCUCCUCAGAUUUCAAAUUUUCGUUCCAUAUUGAUGUAGCCAAAUCUCAACACUACAGUGAUUUUGAGGGCAAUUAGAAUGUUUAAUCUGUUUUUCCUUUGUCACCAUUGCUUACUCAGAUAUAGUCAAAAAGUAAUGUAGAGAAGCAAAAGUGAUCAUCAUUAUAAAACCAGAGAACUAUUACAUUAGAAGUAUUUCAUUGUUGAAAUGCUGAGGAAGGGUUAAUGUUCACUCUAGUUCUUCUAAGUAUACUCGUGAUGUAAGAUAUUUUGAUCCCAGGUUUUAAUGAGAAAUAAAAUGACAACUGUAAGAGCUAAUUUGCAUCAA